UACGAAGGGGGGCAAGCGUUGUUCGGAAUUACUGGGCGUAAAGGGCGCGCAGGCGGCUGAUCAAGUCAGAUGUGAAAGCCCCGGGCUCAACCUGGGAAUAGCAUUUGGGACUGGUCGGCUAGAGUUCGGGAGAGGAGAGUGGAAUUCCCAGUGUAGAGGUGAAAUUCGUAGAUAUUGGGAAGAACACCGGUGGCGAAGGCGGCGAUCUGGGUAGAUACUG
rnacentral:rRNA from 1 species